UUUUAUGAGGAAAUGUUUUUUCCUUUUGAAAUGUGUCAAAAAGUGUGAUCUUUCCUAUGAAAGGAAGUAGUUUUUGGAAUAAAAAGUAAAUUCAGAAAAUAUACUUUAAGAAAUAUUGAAUAAAAGUUGUAAUACUAAAAGAAGUUUCUUUUGUACUUGAAAAGUAUCAAUAAUAUCAUCGAUUUAAGCAAUGAAACAGCCUUUAAUCGGAGCUAAUUGAAACCCCUUCAAGAAUAAACAUAGCUAAUCCAGAUAAGCCUGCCAAGAUCCCAAACAAGUCGUAAAGAGUUUAAGAAAAUAUUAUUCACCUUAAUGAUGCUCAUCUGAAAAAAACCUUUUCACACAGCCAUAAAUCAAAAUGAAAGUUUCAUUCAAUUAAUAAGCGUUAAGUAGCAAUAUAACGACAGCCAAGUUAAAAGGUGCCGAGAAGUAGCUAAAAGGAAGUACAAUGUUAUUAAGAGAGUAUUAUGAUCGUAGUCGUGGUGAUAACUACUCGACAUUAUUUGUUAUGAUUAUUAUUAUUAUUUUCGUCGUUUAUUGUUAUUGAGAUUGUAAAAUUUGUGGUGGUUUCUGCAGAGUGUGUUUUUUUUUUCGGCGAUAAUAAAUCAAGCCAAAUGCGAUAUCAUAAAUAAAAAUUGUGCCGUCGACACGAGCACGCGAAUGAAUGAUGAAUUUAUGACACCCACUGUUAA